ACAGACCGCUAGGGGUGUAUCAUACUGAGAGUUCCGUCAAGGGCGGAGCGACCCUUAGAACCUGAUCCGGGUCAUACCGGCGGAGGGAAGCGGUGACUAGAGCCG
rnacentral:ncRNA from 2 species